rnacentral:rRNA from 1 species
UACGUAGGGUGCGAGCGUUAAUCGGAAUUACUGGGCGUAAAGCGUGCGCAGGCGGUUCGUUGUGUCGGCGGUGAAAUCCCCGGGCUCAACCUGGGAAUGGCCGUUGAAACUGGCGAACUGGAGUGUGGCAGAGGGGGGGUGGAAUUCCACGUGUAGCAGUGAAAUGCGUAGAGAUGUGGAGGAACACCGAUGGCGAAGGCAGCCUCCUGGGCCAGCACUGACGCUCAUGCACGAAAGCGUGGGGAGCAAACAGG